rnacentral:rRNA from 1 species
UUUAGCGGCGUCAUUCCUCAUUUGGUAGAAGAGGGUUUAUCUAUCCUACAAUAUGCGGAUGACACGAUUCUUUUCUUGGAUCAUGAUCUAGAUAAAGCAAGAAAUCUCAAGAUGCUUUUAUGUGCAUUUGAGGAACUAUCUGGCCUCAAAAUUAAUUUUCAUAGGAGCAAACUUUUUUGCUUCGGGGAUGCUGCAGAAUAUGCACGUGAGUAUGCUGACAUUUUUGGAUGCCAACUCGGGCAGUUUCCGAUUCGGUAUCUGGAUAUUCCCAUACACUAUUGGCAUUUAACUAUCGCUGAGUGGAACCACAUGGAAGAGAGACUUGAGAAACGGCUAGUGUUGGGGAUAUUACUACUAGGUGUGAACCGGCCUACCUGGGCCGGGUUAACUUCAUUAGUAGUAUAA